GACGAACGCUGGCGGCGUGCUUAACACAUGCAAGUCGUACGGUAAGGCCCUUUCGGGGGUACACGAGUGGCGAACGGGUGAGUAACACGUGAGUAACCUGCCCACAACUUUGGGAUAACGCUAGGAAACUGGUGCUAAUACUGGAUAUGUGCUACUGCUGCAUGGUGGGGGUUGGAAAGCUCCGGCGGUUGUGAGUGGACUCGCGGCCUAUCAGCUUGUUGGUGGGGUAGUGGCCUACCAAGGCGGCGACGUGUAGCCGGCCUGAGGGGGUGACCGGCCAUAUUGGGUCUGAGAUGCGGCCCAGACUCCGACGGGAGGCAGAAGUGGGGAAGAUUGCACAAUGGGCGCAGGCCUGAUGCAGCAACGCCGCGUGCGGGAUGACGGCCUUCGGGUUGUAAACCGCUUUCAGCAGGGACGAAGCUUUUUGUGACGGUACCUGCAGAAGAAGCACCGGCUAACUACGUG
rnacentral:rRNA from 1 species